rnacentral:rRNA from 1 species
AGUGAACGCUGGCGGUAGGCCUAACACAUGCAAGUCGAACGGCAGCACAGUAAGAGCUUGCUCUUACGGGUGGCGAGUGGCGGACGGGUGAGGAAUACAUCGGAAUCUACUUUUUCGUGGGGGAUAACGUAGGGAAACUUACGCUAAUACCGCAUACGACCUACUGGUGAAAGCAGGGGAUCUUCGGACCUUGCGCGAUUGAAUGAGCCGAUGUCGGAUUAGCUAGUUGGCGGGGUAAAGGCCCACCAAGGCGACGAUCCGUAGCUGGUCUGAGAGGAUGAUCAGCCACACUGGAACUGAGAAACGGUCCAGACUCCUACGCGAGGCAGCAGUGGGGAAUAUUGGACGAUGGGCGAAAGCCUGAUCCAGCCAUACCGCGUGGGUGAAGAAGGACUUCGGGUUGUAAAGCCCUGUUGUUGGGAAAGAAAAGCAGCAGGUUAAUACCCCGCUGUUCUGACGGUACCCAAAGAAUAAGCACCGGCUAACUUCGUG